AGCGAACGCUGGCGGCAGGCUUAACACAUGCAAGUCGAGCGGGGCCCUUCGGGGUCAGCGGCAGACGGGUGAGUAACACGUGGGAACGUACCCUUCGGUUCGGAAUAACUCAGGGAAACUUGAGCUAAUACCGGAUACGCCCUUUGGGGGAAAGGUUACUGCCGAAGGAUCGGCCCGCGUCGUGAUUAGCUAGUUGGUGGAGUAAUGGCCCGACCAAGGCGACGAUCAGUAGCUGGUCGUGAGAGGAUGAUCAGCCACACUGGGACUGAGACACGGCCCAGACUCCUACGGGAGGCAGCAGGUGGGGAAUAUUGGACAAUGGGCGCAAGCCUGAUCCAGCCAUGCCGCGUGAGUGAUGAAGGCCUUAGGGUUGUAAAGCUCUUUCGACGGGACGAUAAUGACGGUACCCGUAGAAGAA
rnacentral:rRNA from 1 species